UAGGGAAUCUUCGGCAAUGGACGGAAGNCUGGACCGAGCAACCCCGCGUGAGUGAAGAAGGUUUUCGGAUCGUAAAGCUCUGUUGUAAGUCAAGAACGAGUGUGAGAGUGGAAAGUUCACACUGUGACGGUAGCUUACCAGAAAGGGACGGCUAACUACGUGCCAGCAGCCGCGGUAAUACGUAGGUCCCGAGCGUUGUCCGGAUUUAUUGGGCGUAAAGCGAGCGCAGGCGGUUUGAUAAGUCUGAAGUUAAAGGCUGUGGCUCAACCAUUGUAGGCUUUGGAAACUGUUUAACUUGAGUGCAGAAGGGGAGAGUGGAAUUCCAUGUGUAGCGGUGAAAUGCGUAGAUAUAUGGAGGAACACCGGUGGCGAAAGCGGCUCUCUGGUCUGUAACUGUCACUGAGGCUCGAAAGCGUGGGGAGCGAACAGGAUUAGAUACCCUGGUAGUCCACGCCGUAAACGAUGAGUGCUAGGUGUUAGGUCCUUUCCGGGACUUAGUGCCGCAGCUAACGCAUUAAGCACUCCGCCUGGGAGUACGACCGCAAGUUG
rnacentral:rRNA from 1 species